UCAAGCUGAAAAGAGCGCAAGGGGAAUGCCUUGGCAUCAGGAGCCGACGAAGGACGUGACAAGCUGCGAUAAGCCACGGGGAGGAGCAAAUAUCCGUUAUAUCCGUGGAUUUCCGAAUGGGGGAACCCGCUCAAGCAAUACUUGAGCAUCGUGCGUUGAAUCAAAUAGGCGUACGAAGGGAACGGCCUGAACUGAAACAUCUAAGUAGGGCCAGGAAAAGACAUCAACCGAGAUUCCGCUAGUAGUGGCGAGCGAACGCGGAGGAGGCCAAACCGAGGGACGCAAGUUCUUCGGGGUUGCGGACAGACAUCAAGACCAGAGGUAAUUAAGAGAACGGCGUGGGAAAGCCGGCCAUAGAAGGUGAGAGCCCUGUAUCUGAAAAUGAAGACUGGCAGUCUGGAUCCAGAGUACCGCGGGACACGUGAAACCCCGUGGGAAACCGGGUGGACCACCAUCCAAGCCUAAAUACUACCUGAUGACCGAUAGAGGAGCAGUACCGUGAGGGAAAGGUGAAAAGAACCCCGGGAGGGGAGUGAAAGAGUACCUGAAACCUUGUGCUUACAAGCAGUCAAAGCCCGUUAAAGGGUGAUGGCGUACUUUUUGUAGAACGGUCCGGCGAGUUAUAGUAACUGGCGAGGUUAAGGUAUUGAGUACCGAAGCCGAAGGGAAACCGAGUGUGAAGAGCGCGAAUAAAGUCAGUUGCCAUAGACCCGAAACCAGGUGACCUAGCCAUGACCAGGCUGAAGUGGAGGUAAAGCUCCAUGGAGGGCCGAACCCACGUUCGUUGCAAUGACCGGGGAUGAGUUGUGGCUAGCGGUGAAAUUCCAAACGAACCUGGAGAUAGCUGGUUCUCCCCGAAAUAGUUUUAGGACUAGCGUUGGCAAUGAGUUUCGCGGUGGUAAAGCACUGAAUGGGCUAGGGGGCGAUAAGCUUACUGAACCCUAUCAAACUAAGAAUGCCGCAGAAAUGCUUACCAGCAGUCAGACUACGAGUAAUAAAAUCCGUGGUCAAAAGGGAAAUAGCCCAGACCCACAGCUAAGGUCCCGAAUACAUGCUAAGUGGAAAACGAUGUGAGAUUGCAGAAACAACCAGGAUGUUGGCUUAGAGGCAGCCACUCGUUCAAAGAGUGCGUAAUAGCUCACUGGUCGAGUGAUCUUGCGCGGAAAAUUUAACGGGGCUAAGCAUGUAACCGAAGCUUGGGAUUCACGAUUUUUCGUGAGUGGUAGGGGAGCGUCGAAUACGGGGUGAAGUCGCACCGGAAGGAGCGGUGGACUGUAUUCGAGUGAGAAUGCCGGAAUGAGUAGCGAGAAUUAUGUGGGAAUCAUAAUGGCCGAAAAUCUAAGGUUUCCUGGGGAAGGUUCGUCCGCCCAGGGUUAGUCGGGAGCUAAGCUCAGGCCGAAAGGCGUAGGCGAUGCACAUACGGUAGAAAUUCCGUAACCACCGAACUUUAAGCUAGAGGGACGCUUUCUUUAAGGUUAUCCCGGGCGAUGGUUGCCCCGGGCGUAAGGGACCGAAAUUUAGUAGGGAAGUAACUGGCGAGAGAGACGAGAAAAGCUCUAGUGUAUACUAAGGUGCCCGUACCGCAAACCGACACAGGUAGAAGGGAUGAGUAUUCUAAGGCCAACGGGAGAAGGGUUGUUAAGGAACUCGGCAAAUUGGCCCCGUAACUUCGGGAUAAGGGGCGCCUGCGAGAGCAGGCCGCAGUGAAAAGGCCCAAGCGACUGUUUAGCAAAAACACAGCUCUCUGCUAAAUCGAAAGAUGACGUAUAGGGGGUGACGCCUGCCCGGUGCUGGAAGGUUAAGGGGAGUGCUUAGCGCAAGCGAAGGUGCGAACUUAAGCCCCAGUAAACGGCGGCCGUAACUAUAACGGUCCUAAGGUAGCGAAAUUCCUUGUCAGGUAAGUUCUGACCCGCACGAAUGGUGUAACGAUUUGGGCACUGUCUCAACAACCCACCCGGCGAAAUUGUAGUACCGGUGAAGAUGCCGGUUACCCGCGACUAGACGGAAAGACCCCAUGGAGCUUCACUGCAGCUUAAUAUUGGAUUUCGGUAUUUCAUGUACAGGAUAGGUGGGAGACUGGGAAAUACAGGCGUCAGCUUGUAUGGAGUCAUUGUUGGGAUACCACUCUUGAGGUGCUGGAAUUCUAACCUGUGGCCUUGAAUCAGGUCAGGGGACAUUGUUAGGCGGGCAGUUUGACUGGGGCGGUCGCCUCCUAAAAGGUAACGGAGGCGCUCAAAGGUUCGCUCAGCAUGGACGGAAACCAUGCCAGAGAGUGCAAACGCAUAAGCGAGCCUAACUGCGAGACUGACGGGUCGAGCAGUAACGAAAGUUGGAGUUAG
rnacentral:rRNA from 1 species